rnacentral:tRNA from 1 species
GCUAGGAAUGCAGCUUAGUGGUAUAGUAUUCGUCUAGCAUGCUUAAGGCCCUGUGUUCAAUCCCCAGUAUAGCA